CGCUGGCGGCAUGCUUUACACAUGCAAGUCGAACGGCAGCACGGGGGGCAACCCUGGUGGCGAGUGGCGAACGGGUGAGUAAUGCAUCGGAACGUACCCAGUCGUGGGAACGUACCUUUUGGUUCUGAACAACGUCUGGAAACGGACGCUAAUACAGGAUACGCCCUGAGGGGGAAAGAUUUAUUGCCAAAAGAGCGGCCCGCGUCAGAUUAGGUAGUUGGUAGGGUAAAGGCCUACCAAGCCGAUGAUCUGUAGCUGGUUUGAGAGGAUGAUCAGCCACACUGGGACUGAGACACGGCCCAGACUCCUACGGGAGGCAGCAGUGGGGAAUAUUGGACAAUGGGGGCAACCCUGAUCCAGCAAUGCCGCGUGAGUGAAGAAGGCCUCGGUUGGUAAAGUACUCUUUUAUUCUAGGGACGGAUAAU
rnacentral:rRNA from 1 species